CAGCCCUUGACAUGUCCAGGACCGGUCGCAGAGAUGUGACCUUCUCUUCGGAGCCUGGAGCACAGGUGCUGCAUGGCUGUCGUCAGCUCGUGUCGUGAGAUGUUGGGUUAAGUCCCGCAACGAGCGCAACCCCCGUCCUUAGUUGCUACCAUUUAGUUGAGCACUCUAAGGAGACUGCCGGUGAUAAGCCGCGAGGAAGGUGGGGAUGACGUCAAGUCCUCAUGGCCCUUACGGGCUGGGCUACACACGUGCUACAAUGGCGGUGACAAUGGGAUGCUAAGGGGCGACCCUUCGCAAAUCUCAAAAAGCCGUCUCAGUUCGGAUUGGGCUCUGCAACUCGAGCCCAUGAAGUUGGAAUCGCUAGUAAUCGUGGAUCAGCACGCCACGGUGAAUACGUUCCCGGGCCUUGUACACACCGCCCGUCACACCAUGGGAGUUGGUUUUACCUGAAGACGGUGCGCUAACCAGCAAUGGAGGCAGCCGGCCACGGUAGGGUCAGCGACUGGGGUG
rnacentral:rRNA from 1 species